UACGGGGGGGCAAGCGUUGUUCGGAAUUACUGGGCGUAAAGGGCGCGUAGGCGGUCCUGAUCGUCGGAUGUGAAAGGCCUGGGCUCAACCUGGGAAUGGCAUCCGAUACGGCGGGACUGGAGUGUGGGAGAGGUUGGUGGAAUUCCCAGUGUAGAGGUGAAAUUCGUAGAUAUUGGGAAGAACACCGGUGGCGAAGGCGGCCAACUGGACCACAACUGACGCUGAGGCGCGAAAGCGUGGGGAGCAAACAGGG
rnacentral:rRNA from 1 species